UUCUGUACCCAAUAAACACUUAUGUAAAUGUUUUAACUUUUUACAUAAUUUAUAUAUAUGUAUAAUACUUGAAGCUUGAGCUAGCGAGCUAGUUGAGAAAUUUAUUCACGUGUGGCAAUAUAAUAAAACGCCAACAGGCUUUAAUAAAUUUUUAAAUACACUUCAGCAGUCUACCAUGAAUAGACUUGACUUUGUUUUUUUUCUCUAGCAAAAUAAAAUAAAAAGAAUUGAGUUAAUAAUUUAGUGAUAACGAUAAUGUGAGCGCAAGGUAACUCAGCUAUUUAGUAUUCAAGACUAAAUUAUUUAAGAAAUGAAUAUUUAUACUCGACGUAGUACCGGUAAAAUAAUGUACUUUAUAUUUGAAUAAUAAAUUAAUUUUCUUGGUGAUGUAUCAUGUUAACGGCCGUAGAUUGACGCAGCCGACUGUGAACUCCAGGCCGGCACACCGUCGGAAAAUCCUGUUUUUCUUGGCAAACUUGAGCCAUCUAUAAAUAAAACAGACAACAGAAGUAAGCCAAACAAAUAAUAUAUUUAAGGAUUACACCAGCAGUUAAAUACCGGGUUUAUUAUUGAUAUAAAUAUAUUACCAAUUGGAGAUACUAUUGAUGCAGCACGAAGUCUCGACGCCUUGGUUUCGCGGAUGCUGGCAGUCUUUUUUCCUACUGAAAAACAACCAGCCAUCAGCGAUUAAAAUUAAUUUUCAUAAUAAACUUUACCAUAAAAUAUAAUUAAAAUUUUUCUUACUAAUACUGUUUGUAGUACUGGUUCUUGGUCUUCUGGCCAGACUGUCAGAUGAGCUGCCCUCAUUAGCAGCCAUCAAAUCAGCAGCUCCAGCUGCUACCAUAUCUAUUAUUGUUAAAAUAAAAUUAAUAAACAGUAUAGAAAUUUAUAUAAAAAUUUUUUUUACGACUUUCACAAUGGCGCGUUGUUUAAAUAAUUAUUAUUUUAAAAUUGAAUAACUAACAAUUAGUGUGUGGUAUUUAAAUGGUAAUUUGAAUGACUGGAAUUAAACUUGUUCCUGGUAUGAAUCAUAGAAAAAUACCAAAGCAUCCUGAUCCCCCACUCCCAGAGUGAAGAGACUGUAAAAUCCUAUCCUACACCAGUACAACAACUUGGUCAAGGCUUUUUUCGUUUAUUUAAUUAUAGGUCUAAACAAUUACUAACCCAUUAAUUUAAUUAUCGUUAUGAUAUCCAGGUUAGACAAUUAUUGAUCCAUUCAUUUGAUAUUUAUUAUUUAAAUUUAAUAUACUUUAGAUUUAUCGAUCAAAUCUCCAAUAUGUCACAUUUGCCGUUCAGGUGAUUGAUAAAUUUAAUUAAAAUAAUAAUAAUGGUAACAAUGAGAGUAAUAGUAAUAAAUAUUUUAUUAUUAUUACUUUUAUUGUUAUUAAUGUUUGAUAACUUACUGAUUUAUUAAAUGACCAGACUUGUCGCCAUAAUAUUUUGUCUUGAUGAAAAAAAAUAAAUAACCAUCAGCUUAUGGGCAACGUUAAUUAUUUAUAAAUAAUAACAGUAAUAAUAAUUAAGUAUUUUUAAAAAAUAAUAACAAUUAAACAUUGACUUGUACUAUCGACUAAAUUGUUAUCACAGGAGUCAUAUUUCGAUGAACUCACUACCACUGGUGAAAGUUAUGUAGC